ACUGGGUGCGGUGGCUCAUGCCUGUAAUCCUAGCAACUCGGGAGGCUGAGGUAGGAGGAUCAUGAGUUCAAAGCCAGCCUCAGCAAAAGUCAGGUUCUAAGCAACUCAGUGAGACCCUGUCUCUA
rnacentral:sRNA from 1 species